rnacentral:rRNA from 1 species
GAUGAACGCUGGCGGCGUGCCUAACACAUGCAAGUCGAGCGAUUCUCUUCGGAGAAGAGCGGCGGACGGGUGAGUAACGCGUGGGUAACCUGCCCUGUACACACGGAUAACAUACCGAAAGGUAUGCUAAUACGGGAUAACAUAAGAAAUUCGCAUGUUUUUCUUAUCAAAGCUCCGGCGGUACAGGAUGGACCUGCGUCUGAUUAGCUAGUUGGUGAGGUAACGGCUCACCAAGGCAACGAUCAGUAGCCGACCUGAGAGGGUGAUCAGCCACAUUGGAACUGAGACACGGUCCAAACUCCUACGGGAGGCAGCAGUGGGGAAUAUUGCACAAUGGGCGAAAGCCUGAUGCAGCAACGCCGCGUGAGCGAUGAAGGCCUUCGGGUCGUGAAGCUCUGUCCUCAAGGAAGAUAAUGACGGUACUUGAGGAGGAAGCCCCGGCUAACUACGUGCCAGCCGCCGCCGUAA